UUAACUCAAUUUUGUAUGGAGUUGGAACAGCUUCCCGCCGUUUGCCGCUAGGGGCGCUGUUCCAACUCCAUACAAAUUUGAGUUA
rnacentral:pre_miRNA from 1 species